rnacentral:lncRNA from 1 species
ACUCUAUGUAAUCGCACAAUUUCAUCAAUCCACAUCUCUGUAACUUAUCUCUUCCAUCAAUCCACUUAAGAUGGAUUCCUGUUUCACUAUUCAGCAUUAUAUCACAAUGCCUUGGUACCAUAUUUCACUCUGCCACUAGGCGAUAAUCCCAAUUCACAUUAAUGGAUGCUGUUCCAUGUCAGCUCUAAACUCAUACAUAUUCCACUAAUGUUGUCUCUAUAGUUUUACUGUUUCUUCUUUACAUCAAUCAUGAAGUAAAUCCUAACCAUUUCAUUACUGCAAAACUUUCCUCACCUACGCAAAUUCGAUUUCCAUUCAAUUCCAUGCAAGCUCAAGUUAGAGCUUCGCUUCUGCCAAAAUCACUAAUUGCUCCUAUAAGUAGAUCAAUUCAGAUAAACUUUCUUUGAUAAUAUUCUGAGAGUAUGAUACUCAAAGUAUUCAUUAUCCCAAAUCCAAAUUUAGGCAAUAGAGAGGAAUCAACUUAUACUUCAUCCAUAAAUUCUCUAUUGCUAUUACUCUACAUACUUUUCCAUGAAUAGGGAAGAAAUCUGAACAAAACCUUUCAUUAACCCACAAUUAGAGCAUCACUGUUUUCUUUUAAACCGUAUGAGAUUGAUCCUGAUAUAACCAUCAGUCAAAUCAAUAAUCCCCAAAGACUAGCCUCAUGCGGUUUAUUCUAUGAAGUGUAGUUCCAAUAUACAUAAACCAAAAUCAUAAGAGAAAGAAACAAGUAGCUAGGUAAUUUCUUUCUCAAUAAUCCAAAAUACUUAGUUCCAUUAGGAGAGUCUCAUCUUAAUCCUUUUAAUUUAUUGCUUAAUUACUCAGUAUCUGCCUUGCCAGUUUCGCCAAACAAACAACUGGACAAAUCCUUCAUAAUCUUUUCUAUUACAGAAAACUACAACUUCCUCAGAUUGCUGCUCAAUCUAUAAUAGUCACCCAAUACUAAAGGCUGAUUAAAACCAUCAGAUCUCAUCUUAAUCCAACUACUUAAUCGUGUUUCCAAUGGAAAUCACGAUAUUUGACACAUAGUCGAA